rnacentral:rRNA from 1 species
CCUACGGGAGGCAGCAGUGGGGAAUAUUGGACAAUGGGCGAAAGCCUGAUCCAGCCAUGCCGCGUGUGUGAAGAAGGCCUUUUGGUUGUAAAGCACUUUAAGCGAGGAGGAGGAGCUUCAGGUUAAUACCCUGGAUGCUUGGACGUUACUCGCAGAAUAAGCACCGGCUAACUCUGUGCCAGCAGCCGCGGUAAUACAGAGGGUGCAAGCGUUAAUCGGAUUUACUGGGCGUAAAGCGUGCGUAGGCGGCUAAUUAAGUCAAAUGUGAAAUCCCCGAGCUUAACUUGGGAAUUGCAUUCGAUACUGGUUAGCUAGAGUAUGGGAGAGGAUGGUAGAAUUCCAGGUGUAGCGGUGAAAUGCGUAGAGAUCUGGAGGAAUACCGAUGGCGAAGGCAGCCAUCUGGCCUAAUACUGACGCUGAGGUACGAAAGCAUGGGGAGCAAACAGGAUUAGAUACCCUGGUAGUCC